rnacentral:rRNA from 1 species
ACAAACGCUGGCGGCGUGCAUAAAACAUGCAAGUCGGACGAGCCAAUCCCCGCAAGGGGAAAGGCUAGUGGCGAACGGCUGAGUAACACGUAGGUGAUCUGCCCUGAAGUGGGGGAUAACGACUCGAAAGAGUCGCUAAUACCGCAUGUGACCACCGAUCCGUUUUCGGUGCUCAAAGUCGUAAGACGCUUUAGGAGGAGCCUGCGGCGGAUUAGCUAGUUGGUGAGGUAAUGGCCCACCAAGGCUUCGAUCCGUAGCUGGUCUGAGAGGAUGGCCAGCCAGACUGGGACUGAGACACGGCCCAGACUCCUACGGGAGGCAGCAGUUAGGAAUUUUGCGCAAUGGGGGAAACCCUGACGCAGCCACGCCGCGUGCGGGAUGAAGGCCUCGGUCGUAACCG